rnacentral:misc_RNA from 1 species
AGCAGCCGCGGUAAUUCCAGCUCCAAUAGCGUAUAUUAAAGUUGUUGCAGUUAAAAAGCUCGUAGUUGAAUUUCGGGGUUAGCAGGUCGGUCGUGCCAUCGGUAUGAACUGGUCUCGCUGAUCCCUCCCUCUUGACGAACUGUGAUGCCAUUAAUUUGGUGUCGCAGGGAAUCAGGACUGUUACUUUGAAAAAUUAGAGUGUUUAAAGCAGGCUCACGCUUGAAUACAUUAGCAUGGAAUAAUGAAAUAGGACGUUUGAUCCUAUUUUGUUGGCUUCUAGGAUUGACGUAAUGAUUAAUAGGGAUAGUUGGGGGCAUUAGUAUUCAAUUGUCAGAGGUGAAAUUCUUGGAUUUAUUGAAGACUAACUACUGCGAAAGCAUUUGCCAAGGAUGUUUUCAUUAAUCAAGAACGAAAGUUAGGGGAUCGAAGACGAUCAGAUACCGUCGUAGUCUUAACCAUAAACUAUGCCGACUAGGGAUCGGAUGAUGUUAAUUUUUAUGA